CAAAGAGUGGCAGUAAAGGAAGCUUUUUCUGGUUAGCUGCCAGUGACUAGUGGAGUUCCGCAAGGGUUGGUGCUGGGGCCGCUACUCUUUACGUUGUAUAUUAAUGAUUUGGACGAGGAGGUUGAAGGCUUUGUGGCCAAAUUUCCGGUUAUACGGAAAUAGGUGGAGGGGUAAGUAGUGUAGAGAAAGCUGGGACUCUGCAGAAGGACUUGGACAGGUUAGGAAAGGCUUGGGCAGAGAAGUGGCAGAUGGAAUAAAGUGCAGCAGAGUGUGGAGUCAUGUAUUUUGUUAGUAGGAAUAAAGGUGUAGACUAUUUUCUAAAUGAGGUCCGAUUCCAGAAAUCUGAGGUGCAAUGGGACUUGGU